rnacentral:miRNA from 1 species
GAUUGGAUGAUGAGUUAUUUAACC